rnacentral:lncRNA from 1 species
AGAUUACCUUGGUCAUGGGAGAAGCCGAUGGAGAAGGUAAGCAAUCGUUGUGAUUUACUCAAAGUAAUCAUGAAACUUAUCAAGGCAAGAAAAGGGAUAGUAGCAGAAUCACAUUCGUCAUUUACAGGCGCCACAUUAGGUAACAAUGUCAGUACAGACCAGGAAAACUUUCAACUAUCAGGAAUGGAGAAGAAGAAACGAAUGACAAAUUCCAGGCUUAAGAAUACGAAUCAACUGUCAAUCACACAUGAUACGAAUCAAAGCAACAGGGUUGACCACAUGACAAAGGUGCUGAAAAUCCAGGCUGCAGAGGUACGUGUAAUUAACUAAGCAGUAUGUAAACAUUUACUCUUGUCCAACCGGCUGGAUAUCAAACAACUCAUUUGUAGGUUCCCAUCCCAACGCCAGUUUCUCUACCGUAGGGCUGCUGGGAGCCAUCUCUGGCCUUGGAGUAGGAGACAUAGUAGAACUGGGAGACGAUGGCCGU